rnacentral:rRNA from 1 species
CUACGGGGGGCAGCAGUGGGGAAUAUUGGACGAUGGGGGAAACCCUGAUCCAGCAAUGCCGCGUGUGUGAAGAAGGCCUGCGGGUUGUAAAGCACUUUCGGUUGGGAGGACUGCUUCUAGCACUAAUAUUGUUGGAAGUUGACGUUACCUUCAGAAGAAGCACCGGCUAACUCCGUGCCAGCAGCCGCGGUAAUACGGGGGGUGCAAGCGUUAAUCGGAAUUACUGGGCGUAAAGCGCGCGUAGGCGGCUAGAUCAGUCGGGUGUGAAAGCCCCGGGCUUAACCUGGGAACUGCAUCCGAUACUGUAUAGCUUGAGUACAGGAGAGGAGAGUGGAAUUCCACAUGUAGCGGUGAAAUGCGUAGAUAUGUGGAGGAACACCAAUGGCGAAGGCAGCUCUCUGGCCUGAUACUGACGCUGAGGUGCGAAAGCGUGGGGAGCAAACAGGAUUAGAUACCCGAGUAGUC